UACGGGGGGGGCAAGCGUUGUUCGGAAUUACUGGGCGUAAAGGGCGCGUAGGCGGUUCGCUAAGUCGGAUGUGAAAACUCUGGGCUCAACCCAGAGCCUGCAUCCGAAACUGGCGGGCUAGAGUUCUGGAGGGGGUAGCGGAAUUCCUGGUGUAGCGGUGAAAUGCGUAGAUAUCAGGAGGAACACCGGUGGCGAAGGCGGGUCUCUGGGCCGAUACUGACGCUGAGGAGCGAAAGCCAGGGGAGCAAACGGG
rnacentral:rRNA from 1 species